UUAAGUUCAGGGGGUAGUCCUGCUCGAUUUCAGGUCAAUGUAUGAAAGUACAAUUUGUGGUAAGCUCGUCCAAGCCCAGCGAUCCCCGUCGAAAUUGUGUUAUUACGACAACGGGUCAAGCCGCUAGUAUAAGGUACAGCUUUUUGUAAUUCAGCCCAGCCCAUCUACAAAGAGACGGGCAAAGGCCAUGAUCCAACACC
rnacentral:misc_RNA from 1 species